rnacentral:rRNA from 1 species
UAGGGAAUCUUCCGCAAUGGACGCAAGUCUGACGGAGCAACGCCGCGUGAGUGAAGAAGGAUUUCGGUUCGUAAAACUCUGUUGUUAGAGAAGAACAGCGCAUAGAGUAACUGUUAUGCGUGUGACGGUAUCUAACCAGAAAGCCACGGCUAACUACGUGCCAGCAGCCGCGGUAAUACGUAGGUGGCAAGCGUUGUCCGGAUUUAUUGGGCGUAAAGCGAGCGCAGGCGGUCAAUUAAGUCUGAUGUGAAAGCCCCCGGCUCAACCGGGGAGGGUCAUUGGAAACUGGUUGACUUGAGUGCAGAAGAGGAGAGUGGAAUUCCAUGUGUAGCGGUGAAAUGCGUAGAUAUAUGGAGGAACACCAGUGGCGAAGGCGACUCUUUGGUCUGUAACUGACGCUGAGGCUCGAAAGCGUGGGUAGCAAACAGG